rnacentral:lncRNA from 1 species
UUUUAUUCCUAGGGAGAAGAGAUAGGGCAUGGAUCACUUUCAUCACCUAUUUGACUAUCACCUGAUAGAUAGGAUCCUCUUGGUGCUGAUUCCCACCUUUGACAUUUCAGACAGGAUGAUUUAGAGAUUCAGCUAUAGUUCGAAGGUCAGGGCAAAGGAUCUCUACGAGAUGUACAAGGGCUGAUUGGUCUAAUGGAUUGAUGGUGCUUGGAUAUGGAAAUUGGGCC